rnacentral:rRNA from 1 species
GGCCUACCAUGGUGGUAACGGGUAACGGGGUGUUAGGGCACGACACCGGAGAGGGAGCCUGAGAAACGGCUACCACAUCCAAGGAAGGCAGCAGGCGCGCAAAUUACCCAAUCCCGACACGGGGAGGUAGUGACAAUAAAUAACAAUACAGGGUUCUUUUGGAUCUUGUAAUUGGAAUGAGUACAAUUUAGAUCUCUUAACGAGGAACAAUUGGAGGGCAAGUCUGGUGCCAGCAGCCGCGGUAAUUCCAGCUCCAAUAGCGUAUAUUAAAGUUGUUGCAGUUAAAAAGCUCGUAGUUGAAUUUCGGGAUCAAUAUAUCGGUCGUGCCUCUGGUACGUACUGGUAUCAUUGAUUUCUCCCUUCUGACGAACCAUGAUUUCAUUUAUUUGGUGUCAUGGGGAGUUAGGACUGUUACUUUGAAAAAAUUAGAGUGUUUAAAGCAGGCAUUAGCUUGAAUACAUUAGCAUGGAAUAAUGAAAUAGGACGUUUGACCCUAUUUUGUUGGUUUCUAGGAUCGACGUAAUGAUUAAUAGGGAUAGUUGGGGGCAUUAGUAUUCAUUGUCAGAGGUGAAAUUCUUGGAUUUAUUGAAGACUAACUACUGCGAAAGCAUUUGCCAGGAUGUUUUCUUUAAUCAAGAACGAAAGUUAGGGAUCGAAGACGAUCAGAUACCGUCGUAGUCUUAACCAUAAACUAUGCCGACUAGGGAUCGGAUGAUGUUAAUUUUAUAAUGACUCAUUCGGCGCCUUACG